UCUUCCUUUUAGGAAAUACAGAGAUUAUGGCGUUCAUCUGUUUCAUCCAGGACUUGAAAAGCAAAACUCUGAACCUCAGACUCUUCCAGCAUGUUUGAUUCAGUCAAACAAGGGAAGAUGCUUCGGGUGCUUUGAAUGCUAUGGAAGUGCUAUGAUGCCAUCGUCUGUCCAGGAAAAGAAAGGAACACCCAUCCAUGUGGUAAAGCUAUCAGAAACUGGAGCACUGGGAAUAAAGGAAUUAUUUCCACGAGACAAGCACGCCCGCCAUUGGCUCAUAAUGAGCUGGAAGACCAAUGACUGCUUCUCAGAGACUCCCAAGGGCCCAAUGUCCUGGCAGCAGAUCUGCAGCUGAGUCAGUAUGGUGCACAGCAGAAAGGUGGGGGAGGGUGGCCAGUGCCUCCCUGCCAGGCUCUGUCUGUGUCAUCUGGAGCAGCACGGACCCUUCAGUCUCCAUUCUCUCUUCAGGAAAGAGGCCUCCUCAUAGAUGGACACACCAAGGCUCAGAGUUGUCGGUGUGAUGAUUCCCUACAUACUUCAGGAUGCAUCCUCUGUCGUCAGACUGGGCUGCAAGAUAGAACAUAACAUGCAUAUGGCUGACAUCAAAAGGAGCCCUUUCAAGCUGGCAUCUGUCUCCUGAGUCCUUUGAACAUGUCCCCAGCAUUUUCUGAGAACUUCCUUCCUUUCUGGCAUUACAAGAUGCUCCGGGUCAAUCUUGUUCUUUCCUGCCCCAGUCCUGGAAUCAGCCAUUUCUCCAAGCAGCCCUGGUUUCUUUUAUGGGAAAUGGCAUUUAGAGACCAAGAUCGCUGUGCACAAGAGAGUUGCAAACAAAGAUGUGGGUGAUAGGAUUGGGAGAAGCCACUGCAGAGACAUUGGAUGCCAGCUGCACUGCAGGUUCUUGAGGCUGAGAGUUAACUGUCAGCAGAGUUUCUUUUGAAUGUCCCCAAGUGUUUAGAACCACACUAAACCCUUAAUGGGUCCUCUUUAAAUGCCUGGUCGAUUGAUUCGUUUAUUCAUUGACUGUAUUUAUUGCUUGAUAAUAGAGCCAAAGUUAGUUUAUUAGAUGUAUUUCCAUGGACUAUUGCAAUAGGUGCAAUAAAGUGCAUGAGCAGCUUGGAGGUCAUCCAGGCCACACCUCCAUUUGGCUAAUGAGGCCUCUUGGACCUCAUCAGGGAAAAUGUCAUCUCCAGGUCACACACUUGGCUAACAACAGAGCCAGGUCUGGACGCCAGCCCGCCUGGCUCGCUCCGGCACCGCUCAUCAGUACAGCCUAUAACGAGAUGCCAAAAAGAAUCCUCUCCUUUUAACAGCAGAAAAGGUUUUCUAAAGCCUCAUGGUGACUUGUCUACUGUGGCUUAGCACGGGAGCCAUGCAUUUCUGACCUAGCCCACCACAGCCAGUGUUCCUAGCCCGAGGCUCAUGGGCCAUAACUAAAAGUCAAACUGGAGGUUGCCACUAGGCAGGCCUUCACUUAGAAGAGUCAGCCUCAACCGUGGGCUCUCUGGAGUUCUGAGCCCAAUCAAUCCACCAGGCUUUCUUCACUGCUGACCAUCUGCAGGCCACUAAGUUCUAGAGGCUGCAGUGAUUCUGGGAGUGGCAAGGUCCCCAUUUCUGCCCUGAGGUUCUCUGUGUCUAUUUCACUGUGAG